GAACUGAAGAGUUUGAUCCUGGCUCAGAUUGAACGCUGGCGGAAUGCUUUACACAUGCAAGUCGAGCGGCAGCGCGGGGCAACCUGGCGGCGAGCGGCGAACGGGUGAGUAAUGUAUCGGAACGUACCCAGUCGUGGGGGAUAACUAUCCGAAAGGAUAGCUAAUACCGCAUACGUCCUGAGGGAGAAAGCGGGGGAUCGCAAGACCUCGCGCGAUUGGAGCGGCCGAUAUCGGAUUAGCUAGUUGGUGAGGUAAAGGCUCACCAAGGCGACGAUCCGUAGCUGGUCUGAGAGGACGACCAGCCACACUGGAACUGAGACACGGUCCAGACU
rnacentral:rRNA from 1 species